AUCUACGGCCAUACCACCCUGAACACACCCUAUUUCAUCUGAUCUCGGAAGCUAAGCAGGCUCGGGACUGAUUAGUUCUUGGAUGGGAGAAGGAAAAGUAUUUCCCGGGCAUU
ensembl:rRNA 5S_rRNA 5S ribosomal RNA